rnacentral:rRNA from 4 species
AAAUUGAAGAGUUUGAUCAUGGCUCAGAUUGAACGCUGGCGGCAGGCCUAACACAUGCAAGUCGAACGGUAGCACAGAGGAGCUUGCUCCUUGGGUGACGAGUGGCGGACGGGUGAGUAAUGUCU